rnacentral:lncRNA from 1 species
GGGAAGUCAGCUUGCUGGUUUCUAUUAAAGAAAGGUCGAUGAUGAGUUUUUUGGUUUUCUUUUGAAAAUGCGGGAUGAUGCAUGAUUUUUGUUUGUUUUUUGUUUUAGGUUUGUUAAUCUAAAGAUCUUAGUUAUUCAUGUUUUUUAUCGCAAGAAAUACUUAACAUUUAAACAUUGCAAUCAAGAAUAAAGAUGUACACACAGAGUGAGUCACAAAGAAGCUUCGUUCAUCAUUUAUAGGGAAACAGUUACAAGUACAUAAGAACUACAAAAUACAAGUUUUU